AUUGAGCGCUGGCGGAAUGCUUUACACAUGCAAGUCGAGCGGCAGCGCGGGGGCAACCCUGGCGGCGAGCGGCGAACGGGUGAGUAACACAUCGGAACGUACCCUAUCGUGGGGGAUAACGAAUCGAAAGAUUCGCUAAUACCGCAUACGACCUGAGGGUGAAAGCGGGGGAUCGCAAGACCUCGCGCGCUUGGAGCGGCCGAUGUCGGGUUAUCUAGUUGGUAGGGUAAAGGCCUACCAAGGCGACGAUCCGUAGCUGGUCUGAGAGGACGACCAGCCACACUGGAACUGAGACACGGUCCAGACUCCUACGGGAGGCAGCAGUGGGGAAUUUUGGACAAUGGGGGCAACCCUGAUCCAGCCAUUCCGCGUGAGUGAAGAAGGCCUUCGGGUUGUAAAGCUCUUUCGGCAGGAACGAAAAGGCGGGCUCUAACAUAGCCUGUCAAUGACGGUACCUGAAGAAGAAGCACCGGCUAACUACGUGCCAGCCGCCGCCGUAAAAC
rnacentral:rRNA from 1 species